ACACGACUACAUUAGAUACCCGCGUAGUCCUAGCCGUAAACGAUACUCGCUAGGUGUCGGCCACGGUGCGACCGUUGUCGGUGCCGUAGGGAAGCCGUGAAGCGAGCCACCGUGGGAAGUACGGCCGCAAGGCUAGAAACUUAAAGGAAUUGGCGGGGGAGCACCACAACGGGUGGAGCUUGCGGUUUAAUUGGAUUCAACGCCGGAAAUCUUACCGGGACCGACAGCAACAUGAAGGCCAGGCUGAAGACUUUGCCGGAUUAGCUG
rnacentral:rRNA from 1 species